UUCUUCUACUCUGUUUCACGAGAAGCACAACUGACAAACACAACUGAAAAUCAAUCCUAAUUUCACUCCCACUAAAAGAUCCACGUUCAUGGUGGUUACAACAAUUCCCAUUUGUUUAUAAAUGUUCGUCAAUAUUCUUGAAACGCAAAGAAAGUUGCUGAAAACCUCUUUCUUUAUCACGGAGCUGCAACAUGCCUCUCGAUUUUACUCAUCUCUCUAAUCUAGAUUCUUUAAAAAGAGAAUGGAAGAUCAAAGUUCUAAUAGCCAGGACAUGAAAUUUUUAUCCAAAAGACAAACCUAGAGUUAUUCUGGGUAUUGAAGCAAUUCUCGUGGAUGCAAAGGGGAAUCGAAUUCAAGCAUUGGUGAAAAACAAUUUAGUUAGAAAAUUCAAAAAGCAAUUGGUGGAAGGAAGGUUUUGUGAUAUCAUGAAUUUUGAAGUUCGUGAUAAUCUGGGUGACUACAAGGGAACUCUGCAUCCUUACUAGAUCAAUUUCAUGUUUACUACAUGGGUGAAGCCGUGUGAUCAGAUCCCAAUUGAGACUCUUAAGGAUACAAGAUUCGUUUCUGUUUUCCGAUGAUGCGGAGCUUCCUGUUCCAAAAGGAAUCUCUGUCUCGAAGUGGCUCAUUUUCUACUUCUGAGGCUCGAUCUGCUCAAUUAUUCAGCAAGGCCCAAACAAUCAUCAGGCACCAAUGAUAGAACUGCUCACGGUCGUCCCCCUCAUGAGGAGAAGAGACAUGUUUCAGCUAAUGGACAUUCAAGACCGUCUUCCUCUGGUAGCCAUUUGAAUCAUUCAAGACCGGCUUCCUCAGGCAGCCAAAUGCAGUAGAGACAAACCGUCAAGCACCCAUGAGGCAACGGGUAGUAGAACAGAGAAAGGUUUCCCGUUACAUCGCCACAUCCCGAAUGAUACCAAAACAAUCAGUGCCUAACUCGAAACAUCAGAUGAUGAGUAAACCAGCGCCCAAGAGACCUCCCUCGCGCGUUAUAGAUCAUGAUAGGAGGCUGCUGAAGAAGAAGAGGCUGCAAUAAGGUCAGAGGAUGAAGAAGCGUUCAACAUGCUUAGACAGUUGUUACCCAGCAAGCGUUUUUCUAGGUACGAAGAUGAUGACAUAAACAUGGAAGUCGGGUUUGAAGAUAUCCAAAAAGAAGAGAGACGAAGGUACAUAAGUAUUCUGAUCUUCAUGUAUUUGUUUGUUUGAUAUUCCUUAACGAUUCAUGUGGAAUUGUUUAAAUGUACUGCAAGAAUCGCAAGGGAGGAAGAUGAAAUCAUGAAAGAGAACUUCAACUCUUAGAGGAAGAAGAAAGGAGAGAAAGAGUAAGAAAGAAUCGAAAGCUGAGUUGUUAACAAAAAAAAAAAGUUAGAAGAAUCCUUUGUCUUUAGUCUUCUUUUAGGACUUCAGAUUAUUAUUAUUUUUUACUGUUCUCCUCAUUUAAAUCUCUUUGGCCGCUUGAGGCAGAAAAGAGUUUUAAUUGAAUCUCUGAUUCUUUUAUUCAAUUGAAUUUCUGAAUGUAAUCUACCCAAGCCUUAUUCAA